rnacentral:rRNA from 1 species
GGCGUGCCUAAUACAUGCAAGUCGUGCGGACCUUGCGGGAGCUUGCUCCCAAGAAGUCAGCGGCGGACGGGUGAGUAACACGUGGGCAACCUGCCUGACAGACUGGGAUAACAUCCGGAAACGGAUGCUAAUACCGGAUAGGCAGCGAAGAGGCAUCUCUUUGCUGAGAAAGGCGCUACGGCGUCACUGUCAGAUGGGCCCGCGGCGCAUUAGCUAGUUGGUGAGGUAACGGCUCACCAAGGCGACGAUGCGUAGCCGACCUGAGAGGGUGACCGGCCACACUGGGACUGAGACACGGCCCAGACUCCUACGGGAGGCAGCAGUAGGGAAUCUUCCACAAUGGGCGAAAGCCUGAUGGAGCAACGCCGCGUGAGUGAUGAAGGCCUUCGGGUUGUAAAACUCUGUCUUUUGGGACGAGCGAGCAGGAAAGGGAAUGUUCCUGUUGUGACGGUACCAGAGGAGGAAGCCACGGCUAACUACGUG